CGCCUGCGUGAAAGGGAAAGCCUCUGUGGGAGAGGAUUUUUUUUAAACCAAGGGGCUGGGACAAAGGAGGAGAAAUGCAAAUAGAACGUCCUGCCGCCACGUGACCGGGAGAGGCCGUGCCUACGUCUAUAUAAUAGUGGCCCCGCCCCGUCAACUGCCCUUUCGCAGUCGGUGUCGCGUGGAGUGAGGAGGUGGCUCAGGGAUGCCUUAUGUGAUCAGGACCAUGUUAUUUGCAAAGGUUUUUGCAGUUGGCUUGAUCCUUAUGAAAGUCGAAAUUCCUGGUUCUUCAGUAUGGCUCAGUCCUGGAUGAUCAAACAGGCCAUUCUGACCCAGAUAAGUUGAAAGCAAGAAUUUGAUUGACAGAUAUGAUCGGAAAAAGGUGACUGGAAGUUUUUGCAGUUAUCAUUGGAAAUGAUGCACUAACUAAAUUAGUCGCUUAACAUUGUGAAUAUAAAGAGCGAACUAAUUCUUUGAUCCUUGAUUAGGUUCCAACAACGCAGUUCCAAAUCUGUAGAAAUAGAAGCUGAUUCUCCCAGUAGUCAUCCUAUCAGGAGAAAGAGUCAUGUUUUAUGGACAGAGGAAUGAUCUACUUUUGCAACUAAUGGAUUCAGCUGCCCAGUAUUCUGGAGGAGGUCUUUCUUCUGCUUGAGGUGGUUAACUUGAAAACUGGCAGGACUUUGACAGGCAUGAAGCUACAGUCCUAUCCGGAAGAAUUGGGUGUAAUCAAACAGUUGAAAAGUUAAAUCCAAUCCUAUGAUAUUUGGCUAAUAAAAUGAUUCUUUGAAACCA